UCCGAAUUGGUGUAGUGGUUAACAUUUGUCGUUUUCAAUCUCCAAUAUAGAACCGACAGGCCCGGGGUUCAAUUCCCCGAUUCGGAA